GACGAACGCUGGCGGCGCGCCUAACACAUGCAAGUCGAACGGAGCUGCGAGAAGCUUGCUUUUCUUAGCUUAGUGGCGAACGGGUGAGUAACGCGUGAGUAACCUGCCCUGGAGUGGGGGACAACAGUUGGAAACGACUGCUAAUACCGCAUAAGCCCACGAUCCGGCAUCGGAUUGAGGGAAAAGGAUUUAUUCGCUUCAGGAUGGACUCGCGUCCACUUAGCUAGUUGGUGAGGUAACGGCCCACCAAGGCGACGAUGGGUAGCCGGACGGAGAGGUUGACCGGCCACAUUGGGACUGAGACCCGGCCCAGAAUCCUACGGGAGGCAGCAGUGGGGGAUAUUGCACAAUGGGGGAAACCCUGAUGCAGCGACGCCGCGUGGAGGAAGAAGGUUUUCGGAUUGUAAACUCCUGUGGUUAGGGACGAUAAUGACGGUACCUAACAAGAAAGCACCGGCUAACUACGUG
rnacentral:rRNA from 1 species